GAUGAACGCUAGCGGCAGGCCUAACACAUGCAAGUCGAGGGAGAAGCCUUUCGGGGCAGAAACCGGCGCACGGGUGCGUAACGCGUAUGCAACCUACCUUUCACAGGGGGAUAGCCCGAAGAAAUUUGGAUUAAUACUCCAUAAUAUUGUUGGAUGGCAUCAUCUGACAAUUAAAACUGAGGUGGUGAAAGAUGGGCAUGCGUCCUAUUAGCUAGUUGGAGUGGUAACGGCACCCCAAGGCUACGAUAGGUAGGGGUCCUGAGAGGGAGAUCCCCCACACUGGUACUGAGACAGGGACCAGACUCCUACGGGAGGCAGCAGUGAGGA
rnacentral:rRNA from 1 species